rnacentral:tRNA from 1 species
ACCCUCGUAGCUCAGUCGGUAGAGCUUUCGACUUUUAUCCACAUACCAUCACGGUAUCGAACGGUCGCGGGUUCGAGCCCCGCCGAGGGUG